UGCUUUUAGGCAUUGUACAAAUUUAAGAAUGACAAUUUGUAAGCCAUGUCCCCUUCAAAGUUUUACUGAUGGACUUAACGGACGACUGCAAUUCAAGUCUUGCACAGUUUGUGACUCAAAGAUGGGCUUAAAGAUCAAGAGGGCAUGCAGCCCAACAUCAGACACACUCUGUGAGCCUCUGGAAUAUCACUGGUGUACUGACCCAAUCAAUGAUGGCUGCCUAAGAGCUAAGGCACACUCUAAAUGCCUACCAGGACAGCAAAUCGCUAGGAACGGAACAGCAUCUUCAGAUGUGCAUUGUGGGAUGUUGCGCUGCAGCCAUGGCCGUUGCCUUUUACAAAAACAGCCCGUGGAAGACACACAAUUAAACCCAAGAUUUAGAACAAUGCAACUUUUUUCUUGCAUUUGGUUUGUAACUUAUUUUCAUACCAUGUUUCUUUUAUGCAGCCCUAAUACAGAGAGGCGUAUCUUCUGGUUCAUGGGCCUGGUCAUAUCUUUUUUUAUAUCCUUAUUUUUUGAACAAUUAUGGAUACUUGGUAUGGUAUGUUUUGUCAUCUCACUUGUAUUUGUCAGAGUUUUGUCUUGGUUACAUAUUCUUCAAUUCCAAUUCAGAUGGGUGAUGUUAGGGAUGCAUUUGCUUAUGUUGGAUUUGUUAGUACAAAUUUAUUUUUAGCAUCAUUGGCUCUAUCCUCAGUUAGCUGUAACUUUGUAAAAAAGCAUGUGCUAUAGUCUUCAUGUCAGAUUUUGGUCUAAAGGGUCUUACAGUAUAUUUGUUGAAAAUAAUGUGUAACAUUUGUUGAAAAUAAUAGUUCCACAAAAAGUAAAAAAAGUGCCAUUAAGAAAGCCCGGAAAACUAUAGCGACUUUCCAAUCCUCCACCAAUUUACUGCUGCACCAUGCUAUGCCGCCUCAAAAAUUUGAGACUUGACGUGAGAUUCGAGCGAUCCUCACGUUCAAAUUGAUAAAUGCCAUGCUUUAGGUGGAAAUGUUUGUAUGCCUGUCCUACGCCUGUUUUAUGUUUUAUGUACAUUCAUUUAAAAAAUGAGGGCCAAUGAGUGUAUCACAGACAUCAAAGACAGGAAGUCCUAAAGUUUUCUACAGUUAAAUGACAGCAAAGGCAGAAGUAAUUUGGUUUGGCCCUCCCCUGUAGUGUAAAGCUUGAAGGACACCCUUGGCUCCCCCACCUCCUAUUCACACAACCAGCAUAUCGUCGUAAAGAAACAUUUCUCUGCAUCACACUCUUUGUUGGGAACAGCAAGCUAUGAUCAUAUUAUGGAUUCCAAUAGAAAAAGACAGCUACUCUUAACUUCAAUCUUUGAAUUAACACAAUGUAGCCUCAUGUCACCUCCCGGGCUCCGUAGAAUUUAAGCAGUUAUAUGACUAAUAAAUAUUUUAUUUAUUAGACUUUCCACGUUUCAU